CUCUGCAGCCCUUAAGCUGCUGGUUCUUCCUCACACCCAAGUUGAGGACCAGCCCCGCCAAACCCAAUAAAACUCUUGCUUUACCAGAGUCCUCUUUGUUUCUGUUUCGAGGCAAUCCCGACCCCUGCCACCUUUUUAUCUAACAUAUGGUGCCGUGACUUAGAUUGCCUCUUUGGGUAUGGCAGUGAGGACUCUGGCUGGACCAACUGCCGAAUACCGGCCCCUGCAUUCACCAUGGAUUCGGCCAUCAGCUACUGGCCACAGCUCUAUGGGCUCCUCCAAAGAAGACGAUCUCCGGCUCCACUGUGACAGAGCAUCAGCCGCCAGGACCCUGCUUCAGAUGUGGACAGGUUGGACACUGGGCCAAACAGUGCCCCAACCCACGACCACCACCAGGACCGUGCCCUCAAUGUGGACAGAGAGGUCACUGGAGGAUCGAUUGUCCUUCUUUGCCACGUCAAGGUAGGUCAGCCUCCUCCCUGACCUCAUGCACUUUGCAGGAGUCCGUCACCAAUCUUCUGGUUCUGGCGGCCGAAGACUAUGGGACCCUGGUUCCUAAGCCCCCACCUCAUCUAUAACCAUCAAUAGGGUAUGACUACAGUAGUUGGUAAGUCUAAUUCCUUUAUUAUAGAUUUGGGGGCAUCAUGGUCUCUUCUCCCCUCCUACUCUGGUAGGGUUUUUUUCCUCAUAGAUCUCCAUGGUGGGGGUAGAUGGAAGACCCCAUUUCCCUAAAACAACAGGACCCUUAUCUUGUAUAUUUUGGAAAACUCCCUUAACUCAUGCCUUUUUAGUCAUGCCCUCAUGCCCAUCUCCCUUACUUGGUAGAGAUCUUAUGCAGAAACUCUCUUUCUCCCUCUCUUUUCUUCCCGCCCCAGUCUUCACUCUCUCCCCUAUAGCUCCUCCCACUCAGAACAAAACCUGGCUACUUCCAGCAUCUGAGGUUGAUCCCCAAGUUUGGGACACCUCCACUCUGGGCCUGGUCUCUCAUCACACCCCCAUCCACAUCGCCCUCAAAGAUUCCUCUAUGUAUCCUUGUAGGAGCUCUCCCUGGGGUUAAUUGGCAACCAUAUUUUACCCAUAUGCCAGCCUGCAAAAUGUUCAGAUACCUACUAGUCUUGGUAGAUACCUUCUCAGGAUGGAUAGAGGCUUUUCCCACUACAAGGAAAAUGGCAGAUAUAGUGGCUAACUGUCUAAUCCAAAACAUCCUCCCCAGCUUUGGCCUCCCGCUCACCCUUCAAUCAGACAAUGACCCGGCCUUCAUCUCUAAAGUAACCCAGACAGUGUCUCAUUCCCUGGGAAUAACCUGGAAACUACACAUUCCCUACCAUCCGCAGUCAUCAGGCAAGGUGGAACAAGCUAAUUCACUUCUCAAGGAUCACCUUACUAAACUCUCCUUGGAGUUAACAUCAAUCAUGGGUCGCUCUCCUUCCCCUAGCUCUAAACAUGUUACAAACCAUCCCACGAGCUCCAUCCUUUUUAAGUCCUUUUGAGCUUAUGUGUGGCAGGCCUUUCCUCCUGAGCAAUCUGCUACUCCAACAAUCCUCUCCCCACUCCAUGACUGCAUACCUGCUUUCACUCUUCUAGGAAAACUCCUCAGGGAGCAUGCUGACCGGAUUAUCCCACAGGUAUCCAAAGACCAGAUCUCUCAUCCCCUUCAGCUGGGAGACUCUGCCUAUCUCCUGUCUACUGAUCAACACAAGGAACUGAAAGGAACCCUCCAGCUGCGCUGGACUGGACCCCACCUCAUGAUCCUGUCUACUCCUUCAACAGCCAAACUCCUAAGACAAUCAGGCUGGAUCCACUUCUCUAAGCUCAAGCCUGCUCAGGAAUGCAAGUACCAGGCUGUCUUUACAGGACCCCUAAAACUAAAAAUCUCCAAAGUCCCCUCCCUGACUGCCAUUGAAGAAUGAAGGGCUUUCUUCUCCAUCUUCCUCUUCUUCUACUACCACUCACUAUUUUUGCUUCCCCCUGCUCAACUCCCCCCUGUAAGUUCACCUUUGAGGUUUGGGAAAUUGAUGAUAAGAAUCAAGAAAUUAACCUCCUAAAUGCCUCCCAAUGUUUAACCUCUAACUGUCCAUCAGUCAACCUCUUUUUUACACUCCCCAGGAACCCUAGAAACCCAAGAUUCUUUUGCUUUCCCAAAGAUAUACCAGAGACCAGCAGCAGUCAUCAUCGGGAAUCUUUCAGGGAGUGCUCCCAUGGCUCUGUCCUUUAAUGGGACCCCUAGUCACUAUUGGCCUCAUUUUAACAGUGGCCCCAUGCCUCAUCAGCUGCCUUCAGGAUCAUAUCUGCCAAUUAACUCAUACGAGCUUUAACCAACUGUUGCUUACUUUUCCCCCAGCCAGAUAUAAAAAUUGUCAGGCAUGAUGGAUGGAGAAUGCUCUAACACCAGCGGAUACCAGGAAACGGCAGCCUGAGAGGAGCCCUUCCAGAUCCAGCCUCAUCAAACCCCCUUCCCCUUUUGUCUUCGACCUUACCCACCAGGAA